CAGCAGCAUAGGAGGAAUCAGUUGAUUCCACUUGUAUAAUUACAACAGGUUGAGUUUUGCCAUGCUCUUUAUCCGGCUCAGCAUCUGAUGCUGGUGGUGUU